rnacentral:rRNA from 1 species
UACGUAGGGCGCAAGCGUUGUCCGGAAUUAUUGGGCGUAAAGAGCUCGUAGGCGGCUUGUCACGUCGGGUGUGAAAGCCCGGGGCUUAACCCCGGGGCUGCAUUCGAUACGGGCUGGCUAGAGUGUGGUAGGGGAGAUCGGAAUUCCUGGUGUAGCGGUGAAAUGCGCAGAUAUCAGGAGGAACACCGGUGGCAAAGGCGGAUCUCUGGGCCAUUACUGACGCUGAGGAGCGAAAGCGUGGGGAGCGAACAGG